AAAGUACGCGCGCCGAGAUGGCUGGGGUGUGAUGUGGACAGAAAACAAGUAUGGAAGCUGCCGAAUUCACGCUGGCGAGAAAAGCUGCUAGGGAGCCUUUCGGACGCCCGUACCGCAAACCGACACAGGUAGGCGAGGAGAGAAUCCUAAGACGAUCGGGAGAACCCUUGUUAAGGAACUCGGCAAAAUGACCCCGUAACUUCGGGAGAAGGGGUGCCGGGCAGUAAAGUGUCCGGCCGCAGCGAAUAGGCCCAAGCGACUGUUUAGCAAAAACACAGGUCUGUGCCAAGUCGAGAGACGACGUAUACGGGCUGACGCCUGCCCAGUGCUGGAAGGUUAAGGGGAAGUGUUAGCGCUUUAAGCGCGAAGCACGGAACUUAAGCCCCAGUGAACGGCGGCCGUAACAAUAACGGUCCUAAGGUAGCGAAAUUCCUUGUCGGGUAAGUUCCGACCUGCACGAAUGGCGUAACGACUUGGGCGCUGUCUCAACAAGGGACCCGGCGAAAUUGAAGUAUGCGUGAAGAUGCGCAUUACCCGCGAUAGGACGGAAAGACCCCGUAGAGCUUUACUGUAGCCUGAUAUUGGAUUUCGGUAACGGAUGUACAGGAUAGGUGGGAGGCAUGGAAGCGAGGACGCCAGUCUUCGCGGAGCCAGCCUUGGGAUACCACUCUUCUGUUGCUGGGGUUCUAACGAAUGUGGUAAUCACGCAUUUGGACAGUGUCAGGCGGGCAGUUUGACUGGGGCGGUCGCCUCCUAAAGAGUAUCGGAGGCGCCCAAAGGUUCCCUCAGAAUGGUCGGAAAUCAUUCGCAGAGUGCAAAGGCAGAAGGGAGCCUGACUGCGAGAGAGACAUCUCGAGCAGGGACGAAAGUCGGGCUUAGUGAUCCGGCGGCAUUGAGUGGAAGAGCCGUCGCUCAACGGAUAAAAGCUACCUCGGGGAUAACAGGCUUAUCUCCCCCAAGAGUCCACAUCGACGGGGAGGUUUGGCACCUCGAUGUCGGCUCGUCGCAUCCUGGGGCUGAAGCAGGUCCCAAGGGUUUGGCUGUUCGCCAAUUAAAGCGGCACGCGAGCUGGGUUCAGAACGUCGUGAGACAGUUCGGUCCCUAUCCAUCGUGGGCGCAGGAGAUUUGAGAGGAGCUGUUCCUAGUACGAGAGGACCGGAAUGGACGCACCUCUGGUGAACCGGUUGUCGCGCCAGCGGCAUCGCCGGGUAGCCAAGUGCGGCAGGGAUAAACGCUGAAAGCAUCUAAGUGUGAAGCCCGCCUCAAGAUAAGAUCUCCCAUCCCUUUAACGGGAGUAAGACCCCUUGAAGACCACAAGGUUGAUAGGCCGGGAGUGGAAGUGCAGUAAUGCAUGGAGCGGACCGGUACUAAUAGGUCGAGGGCUUGACAAA
rnacentral:rRNA from 1 species